GGGUCAGUAGGUUGGUCGUGCCACCGGCACGUACUGGCCUCACUGAUUCCUCCUUCCUGAAGAACCGUAAUGCCAUUAAUUUGGUGUUGCGGGGAAACAGGACUGUUACUUUGAAAAAAUUAGAGUGUUUAAAGCAAGCUAACGCUUGAAUACAUUAGCAUGGAAUAAUGAAAUAGGACGAUCGAUCCUAUUUUGUUGGUUUCUAGGAUUGACGUA
rnacentral:rRNA from 1 species